CGAAGCGAAGCAGUGAUGUGAAGCAAAUCGCACCAAAGCCGGUCCCAGUUCGGAUAAGAGGCUGAAACUCGCCUCUUUGAAGUCGGAAUCGCUAGUAAUCGCAGAUCAGCAUGUUGCGGUGAAUACGUUCCCGGGUCUUGUACACACCGCCCGUCAAACCAUGAGAGUCACCAACACCCGAAGUCCGCUUUGGCGGCCUAAGGUGGGGGAGAUGAUUGGGGUUAAGUCGUAACAAGGUAUC
rnacentral:rRNA from 1 species